GAAGAGGGAAGAUGGCGGCGGCCGUGAACCAGCGUGGCCUUAACCAGCCAUAGUUAUGAUAUUAUAAGGCUCCUUUCCAUGUAGACCUGUGGGUGUCUGCCUGACCUGUAGUCUGAAGAUGCUCUUUCUGAAGUCUUAGGAGGGCCCCUCAGUGAGGAUGCCCGAAGCUGAAGGCUUUACUUCUGUUUCAAGCUACACAGUGAAGCCAAUUUGAAAGCCCAAAGAGCCGGGCAGUGGUGGCGCACAGCUUUAAUCCCAGCACUUGGGAAGCAGAGGUAGACGGAUUUUUGAGUUCGAUGCCAGCCUGGUCUACAGAGUGAGCUCCAGGACAGCCAGGGCUACACAGAGAAACCCUGUCUCGAGAAACCCCAAAAGAGAUAAAGACGAAAGCCCAAAGAGCCUCUGGCAUCCAUAUUGGCAGUGAACAAGACGUGUGGUCUGAAGAUACACAACACCGAGACAGGACUGUGUGGUGCUCACAUGCCACGAGCAGAGUUCAAACAGCAUCCAAGCCCUAAAGACCAGAGCCAUGGACCAAUAUGGUGGAUGGCAUGUGUGCGCUUGUUCCAGAAGUGCUACUCAUCAUGGAGGCAAAUCCUGUGAGGACGUGGAAGACUUCACCUGGUUUCUCCGCUUUCCUCCCGGUGACACGGGGGAUACUUCGGGCAGAUACUGAACUGUCUGCUGCCAUUUACAGCCACAGUUACAUGGGAUUGUUUGUUCCUUCCCUGGGCUUCUACCUCUUCCUUGACUGGAACAGAAGCUAGGUGCUUAGAUAAACCUGGUCAAAUAUUUUAAAUCAGGAUUCUCUUUUUUUCUCAGCCUAAGAGCUUAAGUGGCUAUUUAUGUAGUUUUAUAAAUAAAAAAAAAAUUUUUUUAACA
rnacentral:lncRNA from 1 species